UGCCCCAUGGCUGAGUUGGUUACAGCGUCCGACUGUUAGACUUAUGCGUUACAUUAUCGGAAGGUCGAGAGUUCGAGCCUCUCUGGGGCAG